GACAAGUUCUAUUUGCUCGUCUGUACGCGCAACUUUGAAAUUUUUUUCUGUGACAAGCGCACUUGUUCAAAAGCUAGCAUGCUAGCUUUUGAACAAGUGCACUUGUCAUAGAAAAAUUUGUCAAAGUUGCGCGUACAGACGAGCAAAUAAAACUUGUU